GGGUUGUGAGGUUAAGCGACUAAGCGUACACGGUGGAUGCCCUGGCAGUCAGAGGCGAUGAAGGACGUGCUAAUCUGCGAUAAGCGCCGGUAAGGUGAUAUGAACCGUUAUAACCGGCGAUUUCCGAAUGGGGAAACCCAGUGUGAUUCGUCACACUAUCAUUAACUGAAUCCAUAGGUUAAUGAGGCGAACCGGGGGAACUGAAACAUCUAAGUACCCCGAGGAAAAGAAAUCAACCGAGAUUCCCCCAGUAGCGGCGAGCGAACGGGGAGGAGCCCAGAGCCUGAAUCAGCAUGUGUGUUAGUGGAAGCGUCUGGAAAGGCGCGCGAUACAGGGUGACAGCCCCGUACACAAAAGCGCAUGUGCUGUGAGCUCGAUGAGUAGGGCGGGACACGUGGUAUCCUGUCUGAAUAUGGGGGGACCAUCCUCCAAGGCUAAAUACUCCUGACUGACCGAUAGUGAACCAGUACCGUGAGGGAAAGGCGAAAAGAACCCCGGCGAGGGGAGUGAAAAAGAACCUGAAACCGUGUACGUACAAGCAGUGGGAGCCCCACCACUAAGCCAGUGGUGAACUCCACAUCCGCAUCCUUUGCUGAGGAUACGGUUAACGGAGCGAAAGCGACGUUCAACCGCAAAACAAGCAGAGGGGGCUUAGUGGUGGGGUGACUGCGUACCUUUUGUAUAAUGGGUCAGCGACUUAUAUUCUGUAGCAAGGUUAACCGAAUAGGGGAGCCGGAGGGAAACCGAGUCUUAAUUGGGCGUUAAGUUGCAGGGUAUAGACCCGAAACCCGGUGAUCUAGCCAUGGGCAGGUUGAAGGUUGGGUAACACUAACUGGAGGACCGAACCGACUAAUGUUGAAAAAUUAGCGGAUGACCUGUGGCUGGGGGUGAAAGGCCAAUCAAACCGGGAGAUAGCUGGUUCUCCCCGAAAGCUAUUUAGGUAGCGCCUCGUGAAUUCAUCUCCGGGGGUAGAGCACUGUUUCGGCUAGGGGGCCAUCCCGGCUUACCAACCCGAUGCAAACUGCGAAUACCGGAGAAUGUUAUCACGGGAGACACACGGCGGGUGCUAACGUCCGUCGUGAAGAGGGAAACAACCCAGACCGCCAGCUAAGGUCCCAAAGUCAUGGUUAAGUGGGAAACGAUGUGGGAAGGCCCAGACAGCCAGGAUGUUGGCUUAGAAGCAGCCAUCAUUUAAAGAAAGCGUAAUAGCUCACUGGUCGAGUCGGCCUGCGCGGAAGAUGUAACGGGGCUAAACCAUGCACCGAAGCUGCGGCAGCGAACGUAUCACCCAAGACAACUUUACGGAGUUGACGAUUGACGGAGCGAAGCGACGUCAAAGCGUUCAUUAAAGUCGAGUUGGCUUAGGGAUACGUUCGUUGGGUAGGGGAGCGUUCUGUAAGCCUGUGAAGGUGUGUCGUGAGGCAUGCUGGAGGUAUCAGAAGUGCGAAUGCUGACAUAAGUAACGAUAAAGCGGGUGAAAAGCCCGCUCGCCGGAAGACCAAGGGUUCCUGUCCAACGUUAAUCGGGGCAGGGUGAGUCGACCCCUAAGGCGAGGCCGAAAGGCGUAGUCGAUGGGAAACGGGUUAAUAUUCCCGUACUUGGUGUUACUGCGAAGGGGGGACGGAGAAGGCUAUGUUGGCCGGGCGACGGUUGUCCCGGUUUAAGCGUGUAGGUGUGUGUUCCAGGUAAAUCCGGUUCACUUUAACACUGAGGCGUGACGACGAGGCACUACGGUGCUGAAGCAACAAAUGCCCUGCUUCCAGGAAAAGCCUCUAAGCAUCAGGUAACACGAAAUCGUACCCCAAACCGACACAGGUGGUCAGGUAGAGAAUACCAAGGCGCUUGAGAGAACUCGGGUGAAGGAACUAGGCAAAAUGGUGCCGUAACUUCGGGAGAAGGCACGCUGACACGUAGGUGAAGUGAUUUACUCAUGGAGCUGAAGUCAGUCGAAGAUACCAGCUGGCUGCAACUGUUUAUUAAAAACACAGCACUGUGCAAACACGAAAGUGGACGUAUACGGUGUGACGCCUGCCCGGUGCCGGAA
rnacentral:rRNA from 2 species